rnacentral:rRNA from 1 species
GUGAAGUCGUAACAAGGUUUCCGUAGGUGAACCUGCGGAAGGAUCAUUU